rnacentral:rRNA from 1 species
GACGAACGCUGGCGGCGUGCUUAGCACAUGCAAGUCGAACGGAAAGGCCCUGCUUUUGUGGGGUGCUCGAGUGGCGAACGGGUGAGUAACACGUGAGUAACCUGCCCUUGACUUUGGGAUAACUUCAGGAAACUGGGGCUAAUACCGGAUAGGAGCUCCUGCUGCAUGGUGGGGGUUGGAAAGUUUCGGCGGUUGGGGAUGGACUCGCGGCUUAUCAGCUUGUUGGUGGGGUAGUGGCUUACCAAGGCUUUGACGGGUAGCCGGCCUGAGAGGGUGACCGGCCACAUUGGGACUGAGAUACGGCCCAGACUCCUACAGGAGGCAGCAGUGGGGAAUAUUGCACAAUGGGCGGAAGCCUGAUGCAGCAACGCCGCGUGCGGGAUGACGGCCUUCGGGUUGUAAACCGCUUUCGCCUGUGACGAAGCGUGAGUGACGGUAAUGGGUAAAGAAGCACCGGCUAACUACGUG